GACGGAAGCUAAACUGUUACAUUUAUACUGUGUUCUAUAUAAAGCUUGUUUUGCCUACUGUAGGAUCAUGUUGGUUUUGGAUUGUUGCUAGCUUUCAGGAUUCUUAAAGUGUUGUAGGUUUACUUUGGUCACUGGAACCUGGACUAGUGUAGGUCUGUGUGAACAGAAAAGGAUCUGUCUGUAUGGUGUGACUGUGCUUCCAUUGACCUUGUUCUGGUCAAUAAGACUUGUGUCCCUCUCAACCGUACUGUUCUGGGUUUCACUGGAAAUAACCGAUCCCUUUACACACACUUGACCCUUUCUGAUCAGCCACACUGGCAGAAUCACACGUACGCACACACUCACAAACAAACAAACAAACAAAGCAUCAUCAAUGGAUGGAAAGAAGCAGAUCAGAGAGAGAGGGAGAGUGGAACAUAUCAGCUUACCACUGACCAUGUAAACUGAGUCUAACUGGUUUAGGGCUGUUGCCAUUACACACAUGUUUUCAUGGGUUUGCACGACAUCGUAUGUCUUGGUCAAGUUAUGAUCACACCUGAUCUGUUGUGUUGUGUGUCAGCAAAUGUCAGAGCAGUCGUGUGUGUGUGUGUGUGUGUGUGUGUGUGUGUGUGUGUGUGUACCAAGCCACUAGACUGACCAUGCUCUUAUCAGCACGUGGCACAGUGAAGACGCCAAGCCACUAGACUGACCAUGCUCUUAUCAGCACGUGGCACAGUGAAGACGCCAAGCCACUAGACUGACCAUGCUCUUAUCAGCACGUGGCACAAGGAAGACGCCAAGCCACUAGACUGACCAUGCUCUUAUCAGCACGUGGCACAGUGAAGACGCCAAGCCACUCGACUGACCAUGCUCUUAUCAGCACGUGGCACAGUGAAGACGCACUAGAAGCCACUCGACUGACCAUGCUCUUAUCAGCACGUGGCACAGUGAAGACGCCAAGCCACUAGACUGACCAUGCUCUUAUCAGCACGUGGCACAGUGAAGACGCCAAGCCACUAGACUGACCAUGCUCUUAUCAGCACGUGGCACAGUGAAUACGCCAAGCCACUAGACUGACCAUGCUCUUAUCAGCACGUGGCACAGUGAAGACGCCAAGCCACUAGACUGACCAUGCUCUUAUCAGCACGUGGCACAGUGAAGACGCCAUACUCCCCUGAACAUGCUCUUAUCAGCACGUGGCACAGUAAAGACGCCAUACUCCCCUGAACGACCACUACAUUGGUCCCUCCAUGUCUACAGGUUCUCUUCCUUCAUUCAAAACAUGUUGUAUCACUAAAUUGACCCCAACCCUGCUGUGUAGCUCUAUAGUGCUUUAUAGUUUGCUUGAGUAAUUCAUGGAUUGAUAGAUUGAUUGACAACCCUAGUUCUGUAGUGCUGUCCCCUCCUCUCUCUCUCUCAAUCCUCCAUCUCUCUCUUUAUAACCCCCCUUAUCCCCUCUGUGUGCAAUGUCCCGGGUCCCUCUCAGUUCAUUCAUGCGGAUCCAGGAAGUGCAUUCCUCGCCACAUCCCCAGGCUAUGCUCCAUCACACCACCCAUUCCUGCCACCCUAUCACACACAGCACUGCCCAGUAGUUUCUAGAUGGCCACGCUAGAAAGGACAGAAGUGACAAUAUCAUCAGAACUGAUGAGCAUGUGCAUAAAUGAUACGUGUCAUUGACUAGAUAAAAGACAGAAGUUUGGCCCAUGUCAUUGACUAGGUAAAAGACAGAAGUUUGGCCCAUGUCAUUGACUAGAUAAAAGACAGAAGUUUGGCCCAUGUUAUUGACUAGGUAAAAUAUUGUGAAGUUUGGCCCAUGUCAUUGACUAGAUAAAAGACAGAAGUUUGGCCCAUGUCAUUGACUAGAUAAAAUACAGAAGUUUGGCCCAUGUCAUUGACUAGAUAAAAGACAGAAGUUUGGCCCAUGUUAUUGACUAGAUAAAAUACUGAGAGGUUUGGCCCAUGUCAUUGACUAGAUAAAAUACUGAGAAGUUUGGCCCAUGUCAUUGACUAGAUAAAAGACAGAAGUUUGGCCCAUGUUAUUGACUAGAUAAAAUACUGAGAAGUUUGGCCCAUGUUAUUGACUAGAUAAAAUUGUCACACCCUGGUCUAAGUAUUUUGUGUUUUUCUUCAUGUAUUGGGUCAGGCCAGGGUGUGGCAUGGGGUUUUUGUAUUGUGGUGUGUUUUGUCUUGGGGUUUUGGUGUGUAUGUAUUGGGAUUGCAGCUAGUGGGGUUAUCUAGCAAAGUCUAUGGCUGUCUGGAGUGGUUCUCAAUCAGAGGCAGGUGUUUUAUCGUUGUCUCUGAUUGGGAACCAUAUUUAGGCAGCCAUAUUCUUUGAGUUUGUCGUGGGUGAUUGUCCUUAGUGUCCUUGUUCCUGUCUGUGUUAGGUUACACAAUUAUAGGCUGUUUCGGUUUUCGUUACGUUUAUUGUUUUUGUAGUGUUUGUUAUUGAUUCGUGUUUUACGUUCGUUAUUAAACAUGGAUCGCAAUCUACACGCUGCAUUUUGGUCCGAUCCUUGUUCUACCUCUUCGUCAGAGGAGGAGAUAGAAGAGAGCCGUAACAGAAUCACCCACCACAAACGGACCAAGCAGCGUGUAAACAGGCAGGAGCCACAGGAGAGGCAACAGAGGCAGCAGCAGCAGCAGCAGCAGCAGUGGGAGAGGCUGCACUAUUUGGAGGAAUUGGAAGGAAGAGGACCCUGGGCUCAGCCAGGAGAAUAUCGCCGCCCCAAAGAAGAACUGGAGGCGGCGAAAGCGGCGAGGCGCUGGUAUGAGGAGGCAGUGCGGCGUCGUGGAUGGAAGCCCGAGAGUCAGCCCCAAAAAUGUAUUGGGGGGGGCUCACAGGAAGUAGGGCGAAGCCAGGUAGGCGACCUGCGUCAACUUCCUGUGGUUACCGGGGGGCUAGAGAGACCGGGCAGGCACCGUGUUAUGCUGUGGAGCGCACGGUGUCUCCAGUGCGGGUGCACAGCCCGGUGCGGUACAUUCCAGCUCCGCGUAUCGGCCGGGCUAGAGUGGGCAUCGAGCCAAGUGACAUGGCACCAGCCUUGCGCACGGUGUCCCAGGUUCGCCUGCAUAGCCCAGUGCGGGCUAUUCCACCUUGCCGCACUGGCAGGGCGACCGGGACCAUUCAACCGGGUAAGGUUGGGCAGGCUCGGUGCUCAAGAGCUCCAGUGCGCCUGCACGGCCCGGUCUAUCCGUCACCACCUCCACGCACCAGCCCUCCGGUGGCAGUCCCCCGCACCAGGCUGUCUCUCCGGUCCAUCCUUACGGGGGCUCCCUCCUCUCCAGCACUGCCGGAGCCUUCCUCCUCUCCAGCGCUGCUGGAGUCUCCCGCCUGUUCAGCGCAGCCAGAGCUGCCAGCCUGCAUGGAGCAGCCAGAGCUGUCAGUCUGCAUGAAGCAGCCAGAGCUGUCAGUCUGCAUGAAGCAGCCAGAGCUGUCAGCCUGCAUGGAGCAGCCAGAGCUGUCGGUCUGCAUGGAGCAGCCAGAGCUGUCGGUCUGCAUGGAGCAGCCAGAGCUGUCAGUCUGCAUGGAGCAGCCAGAGAUGUCAGUCUGCAUGAAGCAGCCAGAGAUGCCAGUCUGCACGGAGCUGCCAGUCUGCAAGGAGCUGCCAGUCUGCAAGGAGCUGCCAGUCUGCAAGGAGCUGCCAGUCUGCAAGGAGCUGCCAGUCUGCAAGGAGCUGUCAGUCUGCAAGGAGCUGUCAGUCUGUAAGGAGCUGUCAGUCUGUAAGGAGCUGCCAGUCUGCAAGGAGCUGCCAGUCUGCACGGAGCCGCCAGAGCUGCCAGUCUGUAAGAAGCCGCCAGAGCUGUCAGCCUACAUGGAGCAGCCAGAGCCGCCAGUCAGCGUGGAGCAGCCAGAGCCGCCAGUCAGCUUGGAGCAGCCAGAUCUUUCAGUCUGCCAGGAUCCGCCAGUCGGCCAGACUCUUCCAGAUCCGCCAGUCAGCCAGACUCUUCCAGAUCUGCCAGACUCUUCCAGAUCUGCCAGUCAGCCAGACUCUUCCAGAUCUGCCAGUCAGCCAGACUCUUCCAGAUCUGCCAGUCAGCCAGACUCUUCCAGAUCUGCCAGUCAGCCAGACUCUUCCAGAUCCGCCAGUUUACCAGACUCUUCCAGAUCCGCCAGUCAACCAGACUCUUCCAGAUCCGCCAGUCAACCAGACUCUUCCAGAUCUGCCAGUCAGCCAGACUCUUCCAGAUCUGCCAGUCAGCCAGACUCUUCCAGAUCCGCCAGUCAGCCAGACUCUUCCAGAUCCGCCAGUCAGCCAGACUCUUCCAGAUCCGCCAGUCAGCCAGACUCUUCCAGAUCCGCCAGUCAGCCAGACUCUUCCAGAUCCGCCAGUCAGCCAGACUCUUCCAGAUCCGCCAGUCUACCAGACUCUUCCAGAUCCGCCAGUCUACCAGACUCUUCCAGAUCCGCCAGUCAACCAGAUCCGCCAGUCAACCAGACUCUUCCAGAUCCGCCAGUCAACCAGACUCUUCCAGAUCCGCCAGUCAGCCAGACUCUUCCAGAUCCGCCAGUCAGCCAGACUCUUCCAGAUCCGCCAGUCAGCCAGACUCUUCCAGAUCCGCCAGUCAGCCGGGAUCUGCCAGAUCUGCCAGUCG
ensembl:lncRNA